AACGAACGCUGGCGGCAUGCCUAACACAUGCAAGUCGAACGAGACCUUCGGGUCUAGUGGCGCACGGGUGCGUAACGCGUGGGAACCUGCCUUUAGGUUCGGAAUAACUCAGAGAAAUUUGAGCUAAUACCGGAUGAUGUCUUCGGACCAAAGAUUUAUCGCCUUUAGAUGGGCCCGCGUUGGAUUAGCUAGUUGGUGGGGUAAAGGCCUACCAAGGCGACGAUCCAUAGCUGGUCUGAGAGGAUGAUCAGCCACACUGGGACUGAGACACGGCCCAGACUCCUACGGGAGGCUGCAGUGGGGAAUAUUGGACAAUGGGCGAAAGCCUGAUCCAGCAAUGCCGCGUGAGUGAUGAAGGCCUUAGGGUUGUAAAGCUCUUUUACCCGAGAUGAUAAUGACAGUAUCGGGAGAAUAAGCUCCGGCUAACUCCGUG
rnacentral:rRNA from 1 species